rnacentral:rRNA from 1 species
UAACACAUGCAAGUCGAACGAGAACGGAUUUUAGUUUACUUAAAUUGUCAGCUAAGUGGCGCACGGGUGAGUAAUAUAUAGUUNACCUGCCCCAAAGAAGAGAAUAAUUGAUGGAAACGUCUUGUAACUCUCUAUAUGCCUUUAUUACAUAAGUAAGCAAGGGAAACAUUUAUGGCUUUGGGAUGGGACUGUACAGUAUCAGAUAGUUGGUGAGGUAAUGGCUCACCAAGUCAAUGACGCUUAACUGGUUUGAGAGGAUGAUCAGUCACACUGGAACUGAGACACGGUCCAGACUCCUACGGGAGGCAGCAGUGGGGAAUAUUGCACAAUGGAGGAAACUCUGAUGCAGCAACGCCGCGUGGAGGAUGACACAUUUCGGUGCGUAAACUCCUUUUAUAUAAGAAGAUAAUGACGGUAUUAUAUGAAUAAGCACCGGCUAACUCCGUGCCAGCAGCCGCGGUAAUACGGGGGGUGCAAGCGUUACUCGGAAUCACUGGGCGUAAAGAGCAUGUAGGCU